UUGCUGAUGGUUGCUGCUGUAGG
rnacentral:misc_RNA from 1 species